rnacentral:rRNA from 1 species
AUUCCAGCUCCAAUAGGGUAUAUUAAAGUUGUUGCAGUUAAAAAGCUGGUAGUUGGAUUUCUGGCAGGAGUGACCGACCACACACACUGUGUGUGAGUUGCGUCAUUUUGGCCAUCCUUGGUGAGAUCCUAUUUGGCAUUAAGUUGUUGGGUAGGGGAUAACCAUCGUUUACUGUGAAAAAAUUAGAGUGUUUAAAGCAGGCUUAUGCCGUUGAAUAUAUUAGCAUGGAAUAAUAAGAUAGGACUUUGAGUCUAUUUUGUUGGUUUGCGAGUCAAAGUAAUGAUUAAUAGGGACAGUUGGGGGUAUUCGUAUUUCAUUGUCAGAGGUGAAAUUCUUGGAUUUCUGAAAGACGAACUACUGCGAAAGCAUUUGCCAAGGAUGUUUUCAUUAAUCAAAAACGAAAGUUAGGGGAUCGAAAAUGAUUAGAUACCAUCGUA